CACUCCUCCCCGAAAUGGUGGAGUGUUUGCCUUGCUCCACUUUCUUCUUGAUGUUAGCCAUUCUGACAGGUGUAAGUUGGUGUGACACAGUAAUUUUGAUUUGCAUUUCCCUGUUGGGGCAAAUUCAUUUAGUUUGGCAUUCAGUUGGAGUAGUAGCAAAUUAGCCUCAAGUGAAUCAGAGACUGGAUUCCCAACUGUGGAGAGCCAGACUGUCUGCCUUUUCUCCUCCAGAGAAUGCCCAAAGAAGCCUUGCCUGAGGGUACAGAAUCUUGUUCCAGCUCUGCUGCCAGAAGUUUUCAGAAAGGUGACAGAGCCAUCCAAGAGCCUUCAUCCAGCAGCUGAUGGAAGCAGAGGCAGACACCCACAGCUAAACACUGAGCCGAACUCCCUGGAAUCCAGCUUCAGAGGGAGAGGAGUGAUGAGCAAAGUGGUCAAGACCAGGCUAGAGAAACCCACAGAAACAGCUGACGUGAACAAGGGGGAGCUCAUGGACCCCAGACUGAUAGCUGGGAAACCAGCAUUGGACCUACCCAGACCUUCUGAACUAACAUGAUACAAUGUCUUCAUUUGACAACUGAAGAAUUGAGGCCCAUGUCCAUCGUAUGGGAAAAGAGCUGUGUGAGGAGAAUUCAGAGUGAUGUGGGGCUGCUCCAAGAGAAGAGGGAAGGAGUUUUUUCCUCAGUUUCUUCAGAACAGCACUUGGUCCUGGUUUCCAUGUUCCUCCAGGGUAGUGGAUGGGAAUCAAUUAACUUCAGAUUACUCUUUAUUGCUUGCUGUUGUUAUUCAUAUAUACUUUAUAUGCCUCUGUGGAAAAAACAGGGGUUGCCAUAUGCAGCUCAUCUUGUGAUUGUGUACAACUUGAGCUAAUACAAAUUUUACCUGUGUGAACUUUUUAACUAUCGUGUGUGUGUGUGUGUGUGUGUG
rnacentral:lncRNA from 1 species